rfam:Planktotalea frisia strain SH6-1 PFRI_contig000068, whole genome shotgun sequence.
GGCCACCUACGGGGGGCUUUAAUCGUAGCGGGGCACCUACUCUAAGCCCUGCGAGCUAAAACGGAAGACAGAAA